rnacentral:rRNA from 1 species
UGAAAGUUACUUCGGUACAUCGGUGACAGGUGGUGCAUGGUUGUCGUCAGCUCGUGUCGUGAGAUGUUGGUUAAGUCCCGCAACGAGCGCAACCCCUAUUGUUAGUUGCCAUCAUUCAGUUGGGCACUCUAGCGAGACUGCCGGUAAUAAACCGGAGGAAGGUGGGGAUGACGUCAAAUCAUCAUGCCCCUUAUGACCUGGGCUACACACGUGCUACAAUGGUUGGUACAACGAGUUGCGAGUCGGUGACGGCGAGCUAAUCUCUUAAAGCCAAUCUCAGUUCGGAUUGUAGGCUGCAACUCGCCUACAUGAAGUCGGAAUCGCUAGUAAUCGCGGAUCAGCACGCCGCGGUGAAUACGUUCCCGGGCCUU